rnacentral:rRNA from 1 species
GACGAACGCUGGCGGCGUGCUUAACACAUGCAAGUCGAACGAUGAAGCUGGAGCUUGCUCCGGUGGAUUAGUGGCGAACGGGUGAGUAACACGUGAGCAAUCUGCCCUUGACUCUGGGAUAACUGCGGGAAACUGUAGCUAAUACCGGAUACGACGUUCGGAGGCAUCUCCUGUACGUGGAAAGAAUUUCGGUCAAGGAUGAGCUCGCGGCCUAUCAGCUAGUUGGUGAGGUAAUGGCUCACCAAGGCGACGACGGGUAGCCGGCCUGAGAGGGUGACCGGCCACACUGGGACUGAGACACGGCCCAGACUCCUACGGGAGGCAGCAGUGGGGAAUAUUGCACAAUGGGCGAAAGCCUGAUGCAGCAACGCCGCGUGAGGGAUGAAGGCCUUCGGGUUGUAAACCUCUUUUAGUUGGGAAGAAGCGAAAGUGACGGUACCAACAGAAAAAGCACCGGCUAACUACGUGCCAGCCGCCGCAGUAA